UACACAGUUAACGCACACAAUUACAAGCGCGCGCUCUGGCAGAUUUAAAGCAGUCAUCAAUUAACGAUCAAAAUGGCCAAAUUUGUUAUUAGAGGAGAAAAAAGAUGUGAGGAAAAUACUAAUGAAGGAACACAUGCAAACAAGAAGAGUCGCAGCAUCAGCAGUGAAGAGACAGCAGAUUUUCAUCGGCUCUGCCCAAAAUCCUCCAUCAGGAAGUGACAGUAAACAUAGCAUCCUCAAUAUUUUGGUAUGGCCAACCUUGACCUUAUUCAGUGACUGUUUGACCAUAGCAUGCUAACGAAUUUGACAGCAAAGUUACCAAACAGGAAGUGAGGGCAUAUCUCAGCAACAGUGUGAUCUACUGAGACCACACUUUGUAUGUGACUAAAGGACCAUGUUCUAAAGAAACAUUGUCUACUAAUACCAUUGUAUUAUCAGACCAUGCUGGCAAAAACAUAUUUCUUGGAUUUUUGAUAUUCAACAAAGCUUGUCCAUUACAUGUGACCAAUUUGAACGCAAAGUCACCAAACAGGCUGUGAGGCCAUAUCUCAGCAAGGACUUUACAUUAUUUCCAUCAUUUAUUUAGUAUAUCUUCGUAGGAACCAGCACUGAUGGUCCCAAUGGCUUCUGGUUUAUUUCCAUUGUAAAGGGGUGGGGCCAUAAAGUGCUUGUCCCCUUAAUCAUGGCUUCAGCUAUAUUUUAUUUUUCAUAUUUCUUUUAAAACUUGUGUGAUGAUUGUAGGCUCAUGGAUUGGGAUAUCAAAGUCAAAUUUAUUCAGUUGUCAUAUAUAUGACAUAUUUCCUCACACAGUUAUUUUUCUACUACGUCCUGCUUUUUAUUCAACUGUAA